GUAGUAUUAGUUAUGUUCUUUAAACCCAAAGAAUUUGGCGGUGAUUCUAGUCUAUUUAGAGGAACUUGUCUCUUAAUCGAUAAUCCUCGUUUUAUCUUACUUAUUUUGGUUUUAAUCAGUUUGUAUAUCGCCGUUAUAAGUUUAUUUUUUAAGAAUUUUUAAUUUACUUAAUAUUUUAUUUUAUGUUAUUUCAGGUCAAGGUGCAGCUUAUGAUUAAGUGAUGGUGAGUUACAAUAUUAUUUAAUUAAACGGAUUUUUAUUUUAUAAAUUUAUUGAAGGUGGAUUUAAUAGUAAUUUUAAUUAUAAUAUUAAUUUGAUUUUAAGCUCUGGGAUAAGUACACAUCGCCCGUCGCU
rnacentral:rRNA from 1 species